rnacentral:rRNA from 1 species
UCUGGUAUUCCGGGGGGCAUGCCUGUUCGAGCGUCAUUAUAACCACUCAAGCUUACGCUUGGUAUUGGGGUUCGCGGUCCCGCGGCCCCUAAAAUCAGUGGCGGUGCCUGUCGGCUCUACGCGUAGUAAUACUCCUCGCGAUUGAGUCCGGUAGGUUUACUUGCCAGCAACCCCCAAUUUUUACAGGUUGACCUCGGAUCAGGUAGGGAUACCCGCUGAACUUAAGCAUAUCAAUAAGCGGAGGAAAAGAAACCAACAGGGAUUACCUCAGUAACGGCGAGUGAAGCGGUAACAGCUCAAAUUUGAAAGCUAGCUCUUUUAGGGUUCGCAUUGUAAUUUGUAGAAGAUGCUUCGGGUGUGGCCCCGGUCUAAGUUCCUUGGAACAGGACGUCAUAGAGGGUGAGAAUCCCGUAUGUGACUGGGUGCUUUCGCUCAUGUGAAGCUCUUUCGACGAGUCGAGUUGUUUGGGAAUGCAGCUCAAAAUGGGUGGUAAAUUUCAUCUAAAGCUAAAUAUUGGCCAGAGACCGAUAGCGCACAAGUAGAGUGAUCGAAAGAUGAAAAGCACUUUGGAAAGAGAGUUAAACAGUACGUGAAAUUGUUGAAAGGGAAGCGCUUGCAACCAGACUUGCGCGCUGAUGAUCAUCCGGGCUUCUGUCCGGUGCACUCGUCUGCGCUCAGGCCAGCAUCGGUUUCGGUGGUGGGAUAAAGGCUUAGGGAAUGUAGCUCCUCUCGGGGAGUGUUAUAGCCCUAGGUGCAAUGCCGCCUACCGGGACCGAGGACCGCGCUUCGGCUAGGAUGCUGGCGUAAUGGUUGUAAGCGACCCGUCUUGAAACACGGACCAAGGAGUCUAACAUCUAUGCGAGUGUUUGGGUGUCAAACCCAUACGCGUAAUGAAAGUGAACGGAGGUGAGAACCCUUAAGGGUGCAUCAUCGACCGAUCCUGAUGUCUUCGGAUGGAUUUGAGUAAGAGCAUAGCUGUUGGGACCCGAAAGAUGGUGAACUAUGCGUGAAUAGGGUGAAGCCAGAGGAAACUCUGGUGGAGGCUCGCAGCGGUUCUGACGUGCAAAUCGAUCGUCAAAUUUGCGUAUAGGGGCGAAAGACUAAUCGAACCAUUGGGAACGUUACUAGGUGGUUGAGAGGCUGCUGAAAGGCACGCCUAGUCCCCUACGGGGGGCAACACUAUCAAAUUGUUCGGGGACGUCCUGUGAAAUCUCAAGCUACCGCAGCUGGCCCGAAAGGGCGGCGCGCACCGGGUUAGUGACCCCGGGGAUGGUAAGAACGCUUGGGUAGGGAUUAUCCGCAGCCAACCUCUAAGGGGCCUCAGCCCUACGAGAGAGGUCCACAGACUUAACGAUAGUGGGCUCUAGAGAGCUUAAGAUAAAGUCGAACCCCCGGGAGACCGGGUGGGGUUAUGCUAGUAGCUGGUUCCUGCCGAAGUUUCCCUCAGGAUAGCAGUGUUGAAUUCAGUUUUAUGAGGUAAAGCGAAUGAUUAGAGGCCUUGGGGUUGAAACAACCUUAACCUAUUCUCAAACUUUAAAUAUGUAAGAAGUCCUUGUUACUUAAUUGAACGUGGACAUUCGAAUGUACCAACACUAGUGGGCCAUUUUUGGUAAGCAGAACUGGCGAUGCGGGAUGAACCGAACGUGAAGUUAAGGUGCCGGAAUCUACGCUCAUCAGACACCACAAAAGGUGUUAGUUCAUCUAGACAGCAGGACGGUGGCCAUGGAAGUCGGAAUCCGCUAAGGAAUGUGUAACAACUCACCUGCCGAAUGAACUAGCCCUGAAAAUGGAUGGCGCUUAAGCGUAGUACCCAUACUUCACCGCCAGGG